CGAAUGUCUACAACCACGUAUUGCAUGUACCGAUAAGCAGUGAUGAUAUGUUACCCGACGCAACGCCUGCCUGUGAUAAUUAAUUUGACUGAACGACCGUGUUUUUAAUAAUUCUUUUUAUAAACUUUAAUCUAAAAGUACAAGUCUCAUAAGUUAUUUUAGUGUGUGUCCAUGCUUAGUUGAAAUGUUGAACCCGAUGUAAUUAGUGAGAUAAUUCAAGAUAAUGAACACACACGUAAAAGUCAGAAUUAGAAUGAGAACGUACUAUGACGAAGACAAUGUAAUUGUUUAACACAUAGGUCAACAACCAUUGAUAAUGACUGUGAAUUACAGUCGAAAUAUUUGGUGACCAUUAAAUGAAACUUGAGCAAUUCCGAUAUACCAAUCUUUAAUUUACAAUUGCUGCUCAUUACCUACGAAAAUUUAUAUUUACACACUUGUCACAAAGAUAGUUACCGAUUACCGAUGGGUGCUCAAAUACAAAUUUGUGAGUUUGCUUUUAACACAAAAUUGUUACUUCAUGUAAUGAGUUACUUUCGCAGCUUCCAAUGUAAAAUGUUAAACAAAUAUAUUUAAAAGCGAAAAAAGGCUGCAAGGCGCA